ensembl:lncRNA
CAGGGUUCUGAGUUGGGCCAACCCUCUCGGGCAGGGCCCAGGGCAGUGUCUCCUUGGGGUGGUGCCCCCAAUGCCCACAGGGAGGCAGGGCCACAGUGAGUCAUAGGGGCACGACAGCUCUGUCACUUGAAAGGCUCAGGGAGCAGCUCUGCUCUCCUUGUCUCUCCACCCCCUACUUCUGCAGUCCUCAUCCCAUCUAGUCUGAAGCAGGGCCGAACUGGGCUCCAGCGUGUCUGUCUUGAGCUGCAGAAACUUGACUCUGUGACUGGGACAGACAGUGCUGUCAAGAUAAAGCUUCCAAGGAUACAGCCUCUCCAGCACCUUAAAUUUAUCCAACAGACUUCUGCCAGUCUGUCUGAUAUAACAGAGCUCCAGGAAGCAACAACAACAAAAAAAGGGGAGUCUGUUGCCAUCACCCCCAUCCCAACCAGGCUCAGGAAAUUUUCCAGGGCCAGGCUGCCUUUGUGGAAGCUAUGUAAGGACUGGAGAAACACGUGUUCUCAUGCAAACAAACCCCAAAACAAAACAAGAGAUGCUGCCUUUGGACUGGACUUUGUCCAGCCUGGAGUCACAGUGCCAGUCAAGAGCCCCUCCAGAAUACUUGCACCUGGAUCUUCACUAGGGGUAAGUCCUUGUUCUUGAUUCUAAAUAUUUAUUUAACCAACAAAGCGCUCUAUUAAUUCCAGUUGAAGGGCAGAUGCAGAGACAGUGUUCUAGUUGCUAACGCUGUGUGAGAAAGCACCCCAGAAGGUCGUAGGUGAAACAACUAUCUUAAGAUGCCAGCUGAUCGGGGCUGGGGAAUUUGGAAGGGCCAAAGCAAGGGUGGCUUGUCCCUGCUCUAUGGUUCUUAGAUAACUCAGAGGGCUGGGGGCUGAGAGAGUGAAGGAAGGAGGACACACUUCCAGAUGGCUUGUUCAUGCACGUGGUUAUGCACCGGGCAGGAACAGGGAUGGCCAGAGGAACAAGCUCAAACUGGCAGCUAAAGAGCCCGGAGGGGCAGCCCUUAGGGGAGGCGGUACCCACUGCCUGCCUUAUAGACCCUGUCCCUACCAUCACCUUGACUUGCUUUCUACUAUCUGUCAUUGGUGGGAGCAGUCCCUAGCAGUCCCAGAUUCAAGGGAGGGGUAUAGACCUCACCUCCCAAGGUGGAGUCAGUAACAAGGAACUGUGGGCCACAUUUAAAACCAUGACAGGCUAGUGAAUGGCUUUUGGGGAGAUUUAUGGGUGAAGGCAGGAGGAGAGUUGUGGAGAAGCCCAGAUUCAGUCAUUCUAAGCAUUCGUCACAAACGGAUCUAUCAUCUGGGUUUCAAAUACAGCUCUCAGAUGACUGCUCUUCAUGAGGCUGGGCACAGUGGCUCAUGCCUAUAAUCCCAGCACUUUGAGAAAUUGAGGUGGAUGGAUCAGCUGAGGUCAGGAGUUCGAGACCAGCCUGGCAAAAAUGGUGAAAUCCCAUCUCUACUAAAAAUACAAAAAUUAGCUGGGUGUGGUGGUGCACACCUGUAAUCCCAGCUACUUAGGAGGCUGAGGCAGGAGAAUUGCUUAAACCCAGGAGACAGAGGUUGCAGUCAGCUGAGAUUGCCACCACUGCACUCCAGCCUGGGUGACAGAGUGAGACUCCAUCUCAGAAAAACAAAACAAAAAACCAAACAAACAAACAAAAGCAAAGACUGCCCUGCGUUUCCUUGCAGCUGGCCAGAGCGGAAUGCAGUGUUCUCAGGACUGCGAAGCUGGGUCACCCACACCUGGUUGGACUUGAUAAGUGUCGUAACCUAACGAAGGGUGCCAUUCUGUACUCUCCAGUGCCUGGGGGAGCCCCAGUGGGAACGGAUCCAGAUGGUGCUGGGCCUGGGCCAACAGUGAAAUGGGGGAGGAUGGGUCCUUUCUCUCCUUUGUCCCUAACCUCCCCACUUCCUACUGCUGUCUGACUCAGAACUCUCAUGAAAAACCCAACUUCUUACACUGAUAUUUCCCAGAGGCCUAAUUGUGCAACAAGAAAUAAAAACACAAUUAGAGAACUGAGGUCCAGCAGGAAAUUCACAUUACAUAAAUAAGACCUGGAGCGUGUAGGGGAGCGCCCCAACUCCCAGCCUUGUUAGUACUGAAGGCUGCGAGCACACAGCUCAGGGAUCCUCUGAUUUGGUGGAUAACCCUUGUGAACAAUAGUUCUCUGAAAAGGGAUUUAGAGGAAAGAGACUUUAUUCCUGUAAACAGUUUUCAAACUAGGGAAAGGCAGCCUUCGGUGUAAAAUGAAGGUGCUUUCCAGACAACAAAGGAGGGGCUGGGCUUUUAUAGAGAAAGUUCCUGCCCAUGUUUCCACUCAGGUCCACUUAUGCAAAUAAAAGAUUCAAACUUGCUUAAUCUGAUUGGUUGAUGCUUGCUGAGUUCUGAUUUGUUGACACAGGUCAUAGUCUAUUGGUUGGUUUGGGCAACAUAAACAGGAACAGGAAGCUAUGAAAGUCUCAAAGUUAAGCAGAUGUGGGUUUUUCCGGCAACUCAAAAUACACGCGUGACUUCUAGUCAGCAAGUUGCCGCUUGGCUCUAAAUUGAAUUUAAGCCCCGUUAGCCAGAGUGUGAACCUUGAGAGAGCCGGCCUUUCAAGGUUCACACUCUUCACAUGGGCUGGAGAUAUUCCUAUCAUGACUGAUUUUUCCAUUCAUCCAUUGACAGACACUUGGAUUGCUUCCACCUUUAGGGUGUUGUGGAUAACACCAACAUUCCUACAAACAUGGGUGUACAAGAGGCUAAUUCUCCUCAACCAUGGUUUAUGUAGCUAGAGGGAAAAUGCCAAAAGCUGCAUUAUGAGAAACAGUAAAGUCAAAACUGGAAAGAUGGAUCAAAGCGUGGUGUCUCCCUGAAACUCCUCCUACUAGGCUUGAGGUGAAGGAGAAGCACAGGAAGAAAAGUGCCUCAGUGCUCCAACAACUUUUUCCAAAGAAACCCUCUUUCUCAUUUCCAACUUUAAACCUUUUAAAGCUUUGACUGGCAUAGAGCUAAGGGUUAGAAAACAUCAUCACUUCCCUCCUUUGCAAGUCUGUGUGGAUAGUUGUAUGUUAUCCCCAAAGGUGGCCACCAUCAUUUCCUUCUCUCCCUAUAUGUGAUUUCCUUCUCUAUUGGCUUCAUUCAUCAAGAAGUAGAGGCGAUUCCUGCUCUUCCUCUUUGAGCUUGGGCUAGCCCUGUGAUUUGCCUUCACCAGUUGGACAUGGAGGAAGUGAUACGGUGCCGGUGCUUAGCCUGGCCUUUGAGAGACCUGACAUCUUCGGCUCUCUCUCAGGAGAGAAUGCAGCAGGCAUGUAAGAAGGCUGAUGAAUCAGACCACCAUAUUAUGAGGAAGGCCAAGCUAGCCGCAUGGAAAGGGCACACAGAGAGCGGAGGAACCAAACCAACAGAAGCCUGAAGUCCCCAGCCAUACGACCCAGGUAAGCCACCUUAGCUGGUUCCCUGCUAUGUGGUAUUCCAGGUAAAGUCCCAGACUUUAGUCAUGAAGGUGAGCCAUUUCCUCUGUGCCCUGUACAAAUUUCGGAGCCAAAGAAUUUUGAGAAAAUAAAAGAUCUAUUUUAUGCUGUAAAGUUUUGGUGCAUCUUGUUAUGCAGCAAUAGAAAACCUAGAGCAGUGGUCUAGCACUUCAUUUUGGAAUGUGGGAAUACUUAGUUUACUGUUUUAUUCUUAGCCUUUUGAAACCUCAGCAGAAAAUAAGACAAAUAAAAUCCCAUUUUAACAUCCUGCUACAUACAUUUCAAGAUCAUCUGUGAAAAUGUAGAUGUGAUGCUUUGUUGACCUUUAGCACCCUGUCUUAAAAGACACUAUCAUCGGGCAGAAGCCUCUACAAACAGAAUCUUUACAAUCAGCAACAGGCUGGCUCCUGACACUUCGGGGGCUCAGGCAAGAAUACAAACAGAGACCUACAUACCACAUGUCUAGAUACUUAAAGGCUGUAAAUCAAGCCAACAACCUAUUAAAUAAAAUAUGCUGUAGCUUGCUGCUUUGAAAAAAAUACUGUCAUGAUGAUCUUGAAGUCCAAGUUCAAAUUUAGAAUUCUCAACUGU